GAUGAAGAACGCAGUGAAAUGCGAUAAGUAAUGUGAAUUGCAGAAUUCAGUGAAUCAUCGAAUCUUUGAACGCACCUUGCGCCCCUUGGUUAUUCCAAAGGGCAUGCCUGUUUGAGUAUCAUGAACACCUCAACUCUUGUGGUUUCCCACAAUGAGCUUGGACUGUGGAGGUUUUGUUGGCCCUGUGGUCAGCUCCUCUCAAAUGGAUCAGCUUACCGGUGUUUGGUGGCAUUACGGGUGUGAUAACUAUCUACGCUCGUGGUCGUCUCCAAAUAACCUCCAGUGAUGGAGGUUCGCUGGAGCUUAUAAAUGUCUCUCCCCAGUGAAGACAGCCUUUGAACGUUCGAUCUCAAAUCAGGUAGGACUACCCGCUGAACUUAAGCAUAUCAAUAACGGAGGA
rnacentral:misc_RNA from 1 species